GAAAUGCGAUAAGUAAUGUGAAUUGCAGAAUUCAGUGAAUCAUCGAAUCUUUGAACGCACAUUGCGCUCCUUGGUAUUCCUUGGAGCAUGCCUGUUUGAGUAUCAUGAAAUCUUCAAAGUAAAUCUUUUGUUAACUCAAUUGGUUUCUACUUUGGUAUUGGAGGUUUUUGCAGCUUCACACCUGCUCCUCUUUGUUCAUUAGCUGGAUCUCAGUGUUAUGCUUGGUUCCACUCGGCGUGAUAAGUUAUCUAUCGCUGAGGACACUGUAAAAGGUGGCCAAGGUAAAUGCAGAUGAACCGCUUCUAAUAGUCCAUUGACUUGGACAAUACUUUUAUGAUCUGAUCUCAAAUCAGGUAGGACUACCCGCUGAACUUAAGC
rnacentral:misc_RNA from 1 species